rnacentral:rRNA from 1 species
UUACUCGCGAUCCGCCAGGGAACUACAAGCACUGGCUUGAAACCCAAAGGACUUGGCGGUGCUUUAGACCCACCUAGAGGAGCCUGUUCUAGAACUGAUAACCCCCGUUCAACCUCACCCUGCUUUGCCAUUCCCGCCUAUAUACCGCCGUCGUCAGCUUACCUUGUGAGAGAUUAUAAGUGAGCAAAAUUGGUACAACCCAAAACGUCAGGUCGAGGUGUAGUGUAUAGCAGGGGAAGAAAUGGGCUACAUUUAUCAAUCGAUAA